rnacentral:tRNA from 1 species
GCUUCCUUAGCUCAGUGGUAGAGCACUUAAAAGCAAUCCUGCAAAGGAUUCAUACAGCUACCUUUUUUACGCCUGUUAAGCGAGGGGUCGGUGGUUCAAGUCCAUCAGGAAGCA